UACAGAGACUGCAAGCGUUAUUCGGAUUCACUGGGCGUAAAGGGUGCGCAGGUGGCCAAGUGUGUGAGGCGUGAAAGCCCGGGGCUUAACCCCGGAACUGCACCUCAAACUACAUGGCUAGAGCAUUGGAGAGGGAAGCAGAAUUCACGGUGUAGCAGUGAAAUGCGUAGAUAUCGUGAGGAAUACCAGAGGCGAAGGCGGCUCCCUGGACAAUUGCUGACACUCAGGCACGAAAGCGUGGGGAGCAAAAGGG
rnacentral:rRNA from 1 species